UACGAAGGGGGCUAGCGUUGCUCGGAAUCACUGGGCGUAAAGGGUGCGUAGGCGGGUUUUUAAGUCAGGGGUGAAAUCCUGGAGCUCAACUCCAGAACUGCCUUUGAUACUGAGGAUCUUGAGUUCGGGAGAGGUGAGUGGAACUGGCGAGUGUAGAGGUGAAAUUCGUAGAUAUUCGCAAGAACACCAGUGGCGAAGGCGGCUCACUGGCCCGAUACUGACGCUGAGGCACGAAAGCGUGGGGAGCAAACAGGGA
rnacentral:rRNA from 1 species